rnacentral:rRNA from 1 species
GGCUAUAUGUGCGCCCUUCUUAAAUUUAAUAUUUGUUUGAGGGUUAUUUAUUUAAUUUAAAAUAUUUUAGAAGAAGUGUUUUAUUUUUUAGUAUUGAUGAAAGAAAAAAAUUUUAAAACUAAAGGAGAUUAGUACUGUGAAGGAAUAAAAUAAUUUAAUAUAAAGUAGUGUUUAAAAUUCGUACCUUUUGUAUGAUGGCUUAUCGAGUGAGAGGUAUCAGAUGAUAGGUUCCCGAAAUAAAAUGAGCUAUUAAUAGUCUUUUUCAGUGUUGAAGAACUGUAUUUAGAAUUAUUAAUAGGGGUGAUAUGCCUAUCGAAUUUUAUGAUAGCUGGUUUAUUAGGAAAAAUAUGUAAGUAUUGACUAGAAUUUUUAUAUUAUAAUCUUUUAAGAAAAUAAGUGAAAUUCUUAGUUCAAGUUAAAGGGGAUAAGCUUUUUAAUUUAAUGGCAAAAAUUAUUUUAUUUUGUGGGUUUAUUUUAGGCUUAAUAUUAGUCAUAAAUAGAAAAAUUGUUAUAAAUUAUAGGCUAAGAAAAAAUAAGGGUUAUUUUGUUAUUGUACUAAUAUUUUAUAAAAAAUUGUUUUUAUAAAAAAUUAUGAUAAGAUGAGUAUUGUUACUAUUUUGUGAGUUUAUUAUUUUAAAAAUUAAAAUGAGUAAAUAAUAAAAAUUUAUUUUAUGAAAUGUGAUGAUAAAAAUGAGAGAAAGGAAUUCGGCAAAAAUUUGUUUCGCCUGUUUAUCAAAAACAUGGCUCUUUGGGUUAAAAAUAUAGAGAGUCGAGCCUGCCCAAUGACGUAAUGUUGAAUGGCCGCGGUACUCUGACCGUGCGAAGGUAGCAUAAUCAUUUGUCUUUUAAUUGAGGACUAGAAUGAAUGGUUUGACGAAAACAAAACUGUCUUUUUCUUAUUAAGUAGAAAUUAAUUUUUAAGUGAAGAAUCUUUAAUUUUUAUAAAAGACAAGAAGACCCUAUUGAGCUUUAUUAUACAAAACUAUUUUAAUUUUAUAGUAUUAAAAGGUUUAAAGAAGUUAAUUAUAAUUUGGUUGGGGCGACUUAGGAAUAUAGAAAACUUCCUUUAUACUAAUUUAAAAAAUUAUAUAAUGAUCCGGUAUUUAUCGAUUAAAAGAAAUAGCUACCAUAGGGAUAACAGCGUAAUUUUCUUUGAGAGUUCCUAUCGAAAAGAAAGUUUGCGACCUCGAUGUUGGAUUGAAGUAUCUAGAGGGUGUAGCAGCUCUUUGGGUUGGUCUGUUCGACCAUUAAAACUUUACAUGAUCUGAGUUCAGACCGGCGUGAGCCAGGUCGGUUUCUAUCUUUAUAGAAAUAAAUAAACUUUAGGUUAGUACGAAAGGACCAUCUAAAAGAUAAAUUUUGUGUUAAAUGUAGAUUUAUUGAAAUUUAAAAUUAAAUUGGCAGAUUUUUAUGCAGUUGAUUUAGGGUCAAAA